rnacentral:tRNA from 9 species
GCCGAGAUGGCGGAAUUGGUAGACGCACUAGCUUCAGGUGCUAGCGCUCGCAAGAGCAUGAGGGUUCGAGUCCCUCUUUCGGCACAA